rfam:Oryza barthii chromosome 3, whole genome shotgun sequence.
AAGAAAAUAAACCAUGGCUUUCCGUGUAACGUUUGAUUGUCUGUAUUAUAUAAAUUUUUUUAUUAUUAAUAUUUUUAUUGUUGUUAGAAGAUAAAGCAUGAUUAAUACUUUAUGCGUGCUUUGUCUUUUUAAUUUUUUUUCAAAUAAGACGGACGGUCAAACGUUGGACACGGAAACCCAGGGUUUAUCUUUUU